UAAGGAAUAUUGCUCAAUGGGAGAAAUCCUGAAGCAGCAACGCCGCGUGGAGGAUGAAGGGCUUUCAGCUUGUAAACUCCUGUAAAGAAGGAAAAAAUUCCCAUUAGAUGGGAAAUGAUGGUACUUCUAAAGUAAGCCCCGGCUAACUACGUGCCAGCAGCCGCGGUAAUACGUAGGGGGCGAGCGUUGUCCGGAAUCACUGGGCGUAAAGGGUGUGUAGGCGGGAGCGCAAGUUGGGGGUGAAAUCUACGGGCUCAACUCGUAAACUGCCCUCAAAACUGCGUUUCUUGAGUAUGGGAGAGGAGUCUGGAAUUCCCAGUGUAGGGGUGAAAUCUGUAGAUAUUGGGAAGAACAUCAGUGGCGAAGGCGAGACUCUGGCCUGAUACUGACGCUGAGACACGAAAGCGUGGGGAGCAAACA
rnacentral:rRNA from 1 species